rnacentral:rRNA from 1 species
GCUAACGGCUGAACUGGCAACUUGGAGAAGUGGCAAGUCUUCCAGUAUGGGGAGCAAACAGCUAUGGGUCAAGCCCGAUACCUUUAAGAGAAGUCUUAUUGUGAGGGCGAGUUUUAUAACACCAUAGGGCUGGCCGUCCCAUAUGAAAAGAUUUUAUUAGAAUUGAAUGAAACUUUGUUUAUAUAUUGAUAAUGACAGUAUAUAUAUCGUGUCUUGACUAAUUGCGUGCCAGCAGUCGCGGUAAUACGUAAGAGACUAGUGUUAUUCAUCUUAAUUAGGUUUAAAGGGUACCCAGACGGUCAAUAUAGCUUAUAAAAUGUGAGUAUAUGACUAGAGUUUUAUGAAAGAGGGCAGUACUUGAGGAGGAGAGAUGAAAUUUCGUGAUACCAAAGGGACUCUGUAAAGGCGAAGGCAGCCCUCUAUGUAAAAACUGACGUUGAAGGACGAAGGCACAGAGAACAAACAGGAUUAGAUACCCAAGUAGUCUUUGCAGUAAAUGAUGAAUGCCAUAGGUUAGAUAGAGUACUGUGUCUUAUCUUGGAAAAUGGCCCGCCCCAAGUAAGAUGUCUUCCAGAGGCGCAAGCUUUAGCUUGCGCACUGGAAGAAGCAGCUCCAGAAUAUUUGGUCUAUAAAUGAAAGUGUAAGCAUUUCACCUCAAGAGUAAUGUGGCAACGCAGGAACUGAAAUCACUAGACCGUUUCUGACACCAGUAGUGAAG